GUAUCAAAUUUGUUCUUCGUCAGGAGCAUCAUAUAUUAUGUCGCGAAUCCUCUUGAAAGCGAGGGGUGUCUUUAGAAAUGCGGGCACAGGUGGUGCAUGGCCGUCGUCGUCAGCUCGUGUCGUAAGGUGUUGGGUUAAGUUCUGCAACGAGCGCAAUCCUCGUAUCAUUGUUGAGUUCGGAACCCUGAACAGACUGUCGGUGAUAAGCCGGAGAAAGGUGAGGAUGACGUUAACUCAUCAUUCCCUUUAUGCCCUGGGCGACUCACAUGCUACAAUGAUCAGGACAAAGAGUCGCGAUCUCGCGAGGGUGAGCUAACCCCAAAAAUCCAUCCUCAGAAUCCUCUUAGGAACUCCACGUCUUUGUUAAGAU
rnacentral:ncRNA from 1 species